GAAAGGCAUAUAGUUUUUGAACCGUCUGUCGGUCUGUCAGUCUGUCUGUCAGUCUGUCAGUCUGUCCGCAAUUUUCGUGUCCGUUCCAUAUCUUUGUCAUCGAUGGAUGGAUUUUCAAAUAACUUGGCAUGAAUGUGUACCACAGUAAGACGACGUGUCGCACGCAAGACCCAGGUCCGUAGCUCAAAGGUCAAGGUCACACUUAGACGUUAAAGGAUAGUGCAUUGAUGGGCGUGUCCGGUCCAUAUCUUUGUCAUCGAUGGAUGGAUUUUCAAAUAACUUGGCAUGAAUGUGUACCACAGUAAGACGACAUGUCGCACGCAAGACCCAGGUCCGUAGCUCAAAUAUCAAGAUCACACUUAGACAUUAAAAGUCAUUUUUCAUGAUAGUGCAUUGAUGUGCGUGUCCGGUCCAUAUCAUUGUCAUUCAUGCAUGGAUUUUAAAAUGACUACGCAUGAAUGUGUGACACAGUAAGACGACGUGUCGCGCGCAAGACCCAGCUCCGUAGGUCAAAGGUCCUAAACUCUAACAUCGGCCAUAACUAUUCAUUCAAAGUGCCAUCGGGGGCAUGUGUCAUCCUAUGGUGACAGCUCUUGUUUCAGAAUAUUUUAAGUAUCCAUCGCAUGGGACAGUACGGCAGAACAUGUAAUGGUGAGGUAAAAUAUUGGUAAAGAUGUUGUUUGUUUAUCACAUAUUUCUGUGUUUUGAUGAUAUACUCCUAACCCUUAAAUAUGAUGAAAUCCUAGCAAGUUUAUUAGUGUAUUAUAUAUUUAUUUUGAUGGAAUCCAUUUUACAAGCUACAUAUUUGUAUUUUGCAGUGUGUAUGUUCAUAAAUUCUUUUUUCUUCAGAGGUUGAAGUUGCAAGUAGAGACUGACAGUGACUGCACAGAUAAUGAUGAUGGUGAAGAACUAUAGAAAACUGUGGAAAACUUUUAAUAGUGGUGACCAUCAACAAGCAGUUCCAGCCAAUGUAUCCGUCUCCACACAAGAAGCAAUACCAAGAAAUAUGUGACAUUCAUCAGCCACAGGUAGUCAUUUACUCCAAGUGACAAAGCCUGACACCAAAAUACCCAUUCUUGGAAAAGGGGUGGAUUGUUUUGUGCAAUGGACUUUGCUGAAUAGCGAAUUUGACUGUUUAACUUGACUAUACUCCUGUGCGGAUGGAUUAAAAAACUACCCCAGACUGGUAGACAUGACAGAUGUGUAUUAGAAAUAUGAACAUGGACUUAAAACUUUGAUGUGUAGCAAAAAAGUUCAUCGUUGAUGAUAGUGAUUUUCUA